CCAAUCAAAUGUUAAGACACCAGUUAUUGUGUUAACAACAGAGUUUUGCUAUUUAUUUGUUCUGACUUUUUUUUUCUCCUGGUGGACCUUUUUUUAGUAACUAUUAAGCUUGAUCAUUUAGGCUGUGUUACUAAAACAUUUUCUUAUUUUCAAGUCCAAGCUUUCUGUUUCAUCUGCUUAGUCUAAGCAAUGACUGUUUGAUAGUGUAGCUUCACUGCCUUUGUACGUACGUGUGUGUGUGUGUGUGUGUGUGUGUGUGUGUGUGUGUGUGUGUGUGUGUGUGUGUGUGUGUGUUAUAUAUACAGUACAUGGGUGCAGUUUAGUGCACCUAAACACAGAAACACAGUAAUACCAUUAAGCAAACUGCAGAUGGCGCCAGAUCUAUUACAUCACAGUAAGAAUAAGCCUGUAUUGCAGCCCAUACACAUACAUUUGACAUCUCAGACUUAAUGAGUGUUAAUAACUUUUUGUUGUUUGUUUAUUUUUAACAUUUAUCAAAGGGUAAAUGUUCCGUCAAUGACCUCCUUUACAUUCAUACAGUUUCAGUGGAGUGAGAAGUGUUGAGGGUUGGUCACUCACUGCUUCUCUCUGAUCUCCGGGCUUCAAACUCACAACCUUCUGGUGGUUUCAUGAACUUCCAAACUCCUGAGACCUGACUUGCUGUGUGGUUGAGUAUAAAUGAAGUGUUGUAUGUGUGUGCGUGUCUAUUAGAGACCCCCCCCUACCUCGUCAUACCAUAAUACCUCAGGGCAGUGGGCCGCAGUCACUGUUGAGUUCGAUGUCGAAGCUACAUUGAGGGACGAGUACUGACAGAAGCUGUGGUCACUUGGCUGAAUGCUACUUAAGACUGACUUUGGUUUUUGGUGUUGCAUUUUUGGAUUUUCGUCAUUAGUAACUGCAGGCAAGGUCUCGUCACUCAGGAAGCUGUGAAGUUGGAAGUCUGCAGAAGCUUUUGUCUCUCAGAUGAUUUUGGAGUUAAUUCAGUUUUAAAUUGUUUGUUUAAAAAAAACUAACCUGAUCUGUGUAAAAACAGGCGCAUAUGCAAGUGGUUAUCGAAUACCUCAUUUAUCAAUUUUAUGUUGUUGUUUUUGGCUUGUACAAUGCUCCGUAUAUUAAUUGAACUGUGGGGUUUGUGCAUAUUUUUGUACUGUUAUUAUUAUUAUUAGUAUGGACAUGAUAAUAAUGAUAUUACUUAUAUUAUAGUUUUCUCUUUGAUUAAAGCAAACAAAAAAAAAUAGGACAAAACACAUGAAUGCUUGUAAAAACUGGUUUGUGCUGAUUGUAUUUAAGAGGAGCACUUUUCCAAAGUGGUUUUCACACAUUCAGUUUUGUUCAUAUUAGUAAUAUAAAGAUAUGGUUCUCAGGGCUUUAAACUUGUAUGUCAUGAUAAAGUUUUACUUUAUAUCUUA